rnacentral:rRNA from 1 species
UGGGGAAUAUUGCACAAUGGGGGAAACCCUGAUGCAGCAACGCCGCGUGAGUGAUGACGGCCUUCGGGUUGUAAAGCUCCGUCUUCAGGGACGAUAAUGACGGUACCUGAGGAGGAAGCCACGGCUAACUACGUGCCAGCAGCCGCGGUAAUACGUAGGUGGCAAGCGUUGUCCGGAUUUACUGGGCGUAAAGGGAGCGUAGGCGGACUUUUAAGUGAGAUGUGAAAUACCCGGGCUCAACCUGGGUGCUGCAUUUCAAACUGGAAGUCUAGAGUGCAGGAGAGGAGAGUGGAAUUCCUAGUGUAGCGGUGAAAUGCGUAGAGAUUAGGAAGAACACCAGUGGCGAAGGCGACUCUCUGGACUGUAACUGACGCUGAGGCUCGAAAGCGUGGGGAGCAAACA